AUUGAACGCUAGCGGGAUGCUUUACACAUGCAAGUCGAACGAGUGGCGGACGGGUGAGUAAUAUCUCGGAACGUGCCCAGUAGCGGGGGAUAACUACUCGAAAGUGUGGCUAAUACCACAUUAUAUCGAAGCGGCCGAUCUCGGAUUAUCUAGUUGGUGGGGUAAAGGCUCACAAAGGCAACGAUCAGUAGCUGGUGUGAGAGGACGACCAGAAACACUGGGACUGAGACACGGCCCAGACUCCUCCGGGAGGCAGCAGUGGGGAAUUUUGGACAAUGGGUGAAACCCUGAUCCAGCCAUCCCGCGUGUAUGAGAAGGCCUUCGGGUUGUAAAGUACGUUGGGCAGAGAAGCGGUAUCUGCAGAAGAAGCACCGGCUAAAUACGUGCCAGCCGCCGCGGUAAUUC
rnacentral:rRNA from 1 species